UGCAGCAACUGUCACAGUGACUGUACACAGACUUAGAUCUACCAGCAGAAUUUGCUUGUAAAUAUACUGUGCAUGCGUGUUACUGAGACUUAUAAUAUUAUUAACCUGGAUAACGUGAGCGAGCUUUAUACAGUGAAAUCGCGACAGAGGAUUUGCGCCAUUCCAGGUCAAGGAACGCACCGACUCGGAUCAAGAAAAACUUCGAACUAAAGACAGUAUCGGUUGCAAACUGAAAAAUCAAGCCUAUAGCUUGAACUGCAAAUAGAGCUCACAAGGCCAGCUAGAGCUCACAAGGCCAGCUAGAUGUAGUAGGGAGAAAAAAAGAAAGACGGAUUGGAGAAGUCCAGCAUCGUUUUAAGACGUUAAAGUAUAAUUCGGCCAACUGCACAUUUCUACGUGUGAAGAAUUAAAAAGUAACUAAACGGAUGACGGGCUCUUCAAGACAAAAAUAGUCGCAAAAAAAAAAAAAAAAAAAA